GAGAAAAACUACCCUAUCAGACACAUUUCAUCACUGCUUCUAUCCAUCACUAUCUUCUUUCACUAGCAUGAUUAUCAUUUACCUUUCUCCUUUUAUACGCGACAUCCUAAUUUUAGAUUAAGAAUUAACAGGUAUAAAGUAAUAUAUAAAUAAUAUAAAGUAAGGUUUAAUUAUCAAAUUAAGACAACAUGCUAUAGCAAGUCUUUCUCUUUCCCCCUCCUCUUCAAACUGCAAAAAAAGUACAGCACAGUGUUUCUAUCACAGGGUGAUGAAUACAUCUCUUGGAAGUGCUACCGUAGGAAACCUGUAUCCUAGAGGUAGAACACAUAUUAUGGAAUAUGGCUGCUGCAUUGGCUUUGCUGCGUGCUGCUGCCAGGAUUUACGAGGCCCAGACGUGGUGCCAGAGCCGCUGCCGGGGAAGAAGUGUCGACGCAGACGUGGGAACACUCUUGACAGCGAAUGACACACAAAAGUGGGCAGGUAGAACUGCCACUGCUGCACACAGGGAGCAGCACAACAAUGAGCAGAGAUUAUCACAGCAGUGACAGAAAUGUGCGAGGCACACGUUCGCAAAUGCUUUUUCUGCGGAAGCUCCACAGCAAAAUAGAGCCAAAGCCGCAUGCACCCAGCAGGCAUGGAAGGAGGAAAACUUGACCCUCCUGCAGGCAGGGAAAGUCAUGCCAGUGACUCAAGUGAGGCAAGUUUUCAGGAAUAUUUCACACUUGUAAACCAAUAUUAAAGUGCACAGCAAUUAAGCUGUGCUCAAGCAUGCUAAGGACAAAAGUACAAUUAAAAAUGUUCAUAUAAGAAGAGCAGCAGGCCCAGAAUCUGUUGAUGAAGCCCACAGAUAAAUUUAUAUUCGUUUUGUUCAUUUGUUUUAAGAAGGGGCUGCUUCAAGUUUAGUGUAAUACAAUUACCAUGACAAGCCAGGUCAGUAUGCCUUCCAGCACUGAAAAACAGGAAAAAUUCAUUACAAUGGGGUGAAUGUUGUGGAGUGACUAUGGUGGGUUUAGACACCAAACCCACUUCUAAGAGUUUCUUCUGUUUUGAAAAUUCUACCAUUUGUGAGCUAGUUCAGAAAGGAAAGAGGGGAGGAGAAGUGAAGAAAUUACUGCUGUUACCACCUGCAAACAUUUAUGUUCAAAAUACUAAACUGAAAAACUGCAGCACAAACCAGGUUUUGUGCCUCUCUUUGUUCUUUGUUUUGUUAUUCCUCCCAUCCUUUCUCCUGCUUCCCUUCCUUUUUGUUUCUUUCCUUUGGUUUAUUUUCCUUCCAAAUUAGUUUUUCACUCCCAUUUGUAAAUAUUGUAACUCCGUCCAUCUGUUCCCCCUCCCUUUUCUUUCCCCCAAUUUUAAAUGCAUUCUCUCCCUUUUAAUGUCAUUUUAAAAAAUUGUUCUCAACCUUCUUUUUGACCUUCCUAUUCCCUCUACUCUCCACUACAUGUGUAUGAUACCAGCUUCCACAAGUUUCCCUUCUCUCAGUAAAAAACACUGUAACAGGGUUGUGAGGAAUGGGAACAGGUAACUCAGAGAAGUCAUGAAUGCCCUGUCCCUGGAAGUGUUCAAGGGAAGACUGCUCAUAGCUUUGAGCAAACUGGUCAAGUCAAAAGUAUCCCUGUACACAACUAGAUCAUAUGGUCCCUUCCAAGCCAAACCAUUCUAUGAUGCUAUGAAAAACACACAGUAAACCCCACCAUUUUUAUUAAAUAUGGACAAAAAUGACCCCAAUCAAGUUCACAACUGAGGAACUCGUACCAGAAUCACUUAUGCUAGAAUAGAUACAUUCGAGACUCUCAAGAAGGCAUCCAGACAACGUCUCUGCUCAGCUAUUUUACCCUCCAUAUUCUAAGCAGAUAUUUGGACACUAAGAAUUAGCAAUCUUGCCAAACAACAG
ensembl:lncRNA